CUUGUGAGAGGUGGUGGUAAAAGGUUUUGGUGGAUGUAGGGAGUGAUGUGGAGCUAUUGUAUAUUCUUGUUUAGAGUUGGAACAAAUAUGGAUGGAGAUGGUGGGGAUGACAAGCAUGGUAAUGUAAGAGGAGAUGGAAAUAGUGGUUUUAGUGGAUGAGCAUAUUUUUUUGUGACAAGCAGGGUUGUCGAUCUUUGGUUGGGG
rnacentral:misc_RNA from 1 species